rnacentral:rRNA from 1 species
AAUAGAUACCCGGGUAGUCCACGCCGUAAACGAUGAGUGCUAGGUGUUGGGGGGACCCCCCUCAGUGCCGCAGGUAACCCAAUAAGCACUCCGCCUGGGGAGUACGGUCGCAAGACUGAAACUCAAAGGAAUUGACGGGGGCCCGCACAAGCGGUGGAGCAUGUGGUUUAAUUCGAAGCAACGCGAAGAACCUUACCAGGGCUUGACAUCCCGCUGACCGGUGUAGAGAUAUGCCUUUCCCCUUCGGGGGACAGCGGUGACAGGUGGUGCAUGGUUGUCGUCAGCUCGUGUCGUGAGAUGUUGGGUUCAGUCCCGCAACGAGCGCAACCCUUGUUUCUAGUUGCCAGCACUUCGGGUGGGCACUCUAGAGAGACAGCCGGUGAAAGCCGGAGGAAGGUGGGGAUGACGUCAAAUCAUCAUGCCCCUUAUGUCCUGGGCUACACACGUGCUACAAUGGCUGGUACAAAGGGCAGCGAACCCGCGAGGGGGAGCCAAUCCCAAAAAACCAGUCUCAGCUCGGAUUGCAGGCUGCAACUCG